GACGAACGCUGGCGGCGUGCUUAACACAUGCAAGUCGAACGGUGAAGCGCCUUCCUUUUUGGUGGGUGUGGAUGAGUGGCGAACGGGUGAGUAACACGUGAGUAACCUGCCCCCUUCUUCUGGAUAACCGCAUGAAAGUGUGGCUAAUACGGGAUAUUCUGGGUCUGUCGCAUGAUGGGUCUGGGAAAGAUAUUGUUUCGGUGGGGGAUGGGCUCGCGGCCUAUCAGCUUGUUGGUGGGGUGAUGGCCUACCAAGGCGGUGACGGGUAGCCGGCCUGAGAGGGUGGACGGUCACACUGGGACUGAGACACGGCCCAGACUCCUACGGGAGGCAGCAGUGGGGAAUAUUGCACAAUGGGCGCAAGCCUGAUGCAGCGACGCCGCGUGAGGGAUGGAGGCCUUCGGGUUGUGAACCUCUUUCGCCAGUGAAGCAGGCCUGACUCGUUUGUGGGUGGGUUGACGGUAGCUGGAUAAGAAGCGCCGGCUAACUACGUG
rnacentral:rRNA from 1 species